UGGGGAAUAUUGGGCAAUGGGGGAAACCCUGACCCAGCGACGCCGCGUGAGGGAAGAAGGUUCUAGGAUUGUAAACCUCUGUCCUUGGUGAAGAGAAGAAGACGGUAGCCAAGGAGGAAGCCCCGGCUAACUACGUGCCAGCAGCCGCGGUAAUACGUAGGGGGCGAGCGUUGUCCGGAAUGAUUGGGCGUAAAGGGCGCGUAGGCGGCUUGGUAAGUCUGGAGUGAAAGUCCUGCUUUUAAGGGAGGAAUUGCUUUGGAAACUGCCGGGCUUGAGUGCAGGAGAGGUUAUCGGAAUUCCCGGUGUAGCGGUGAAAUGCGUAGAGAUCGGGAGGAACACCAGUGGCGAAGGCGGGUAACUGGACUGCAACUGACGCUGAGGCGCGAAAGUGUGGGGAGCAAACA
rnacentral:rRNA from 1 species